rnacentral:rRNA from 1 species
GACGAACGCUGGCGGCGUGCUUAACACAUCCCCCCCCCACGGACAGGCCCUGCUUUUGUGGGGUGCUCGAGUGGCGAACGGGUGAGUAACACGUGAGUAACCUGCCCUUGACUUUGGGAUAACUUCAGGAAACUGGGGCUAAUACCGGAUAGGAGCUCCUGCUGCAUGGUGGGGGUUGGAAAGUUUCGGCGGUUGGGGAUGGACUCGCGGCUUAUCAGCUUGUUGGUGGGGUAGUGGCUUACCAAGGCUUUGACGGGUAGCCGGCCUGAGAGGGUGACCGGCCACAUUGGGACUGAGAUACGGCCCAGACUCCUACGGGAGGCAGCAGUGGGGAAUAUUGCACAAUGGGCGGAAGCCUGAUGCAGCAACGCCGCGUGCGGGAUGACGGCCUUCGGGUUGUAAACCGCUUUCGCCUGUGACGAAGCGUGAGUGACGGUAAUGGGUAAAGAAGCACCGGCUAACUACGUG